AGAGUUUGAUUCAUGGCUCAGGAUGAACGCUAGCGGGAGGCCUAACACAUGCAAGCCGAGCGGUAUUGUUUCUUCGGAAAUGAGAGAGCGGCGUACGGGUGCGGAACACGUGUGCAACCUGCCUUUAUCUGGGGGAUAGCCUUUCGAAAGGAAGAUUAAUACCCCAUAACAUAUUGAGUGGCAUCACUUAAUAUUGAAAACUCCGGUGGAUAGAGAUGGGCACGCGCAAGAUUAGAUAGUUGGUGAGGUAACGGCUCACCAAGUCAAUGAUCUUUAGGGGGCCUGAGAGGGUGAUCCCCCACACUGGUACUGAGACACGGACCAGACUCCUACGGGAGGCAGCAGUGAGGAAUAUUGGACAAUGGGUGAGAGCCUGAUCCAGCCAUCCCGCGUGAAGGACGACGGCCCUAUGGGUUGUAAACUUCUUUUGUAUAGGGAUAAACCUUUCCACGUGUGGAAAGCUGAAGGUACUAUACGAAUAGCACCGGC
rnacentral:rRNA from 1 species